rnacentral:rRNA from 1 species
AACGAACGCUGGCGGCAUGCCUAACACAUGCAAGUCGAACGAGACCUUCGGGUCUAGUGGCGCACGGGUGCGUAACGCGUGGGAACCUGCCCUUAGGUUCGGAAUAACUCCCCGAAAGGGGUGCUAAUACCGGAUAAUGUCUUCGGACCCAAGAUUUAUCGCCUUUGGAUGGGCCCGCGUUGGAUUAGCCGGUUGGUAGGGUCAAAGCCUACCAAGGCGACGAUCCAUAGCUGGUCGGAGAGGAUGAUCAGCCACACUGGGACUGAGACACGGCCCAGACUCCUACGGGAGGCAGCAGUGGGGAAUAUUGGACAAUGGGCGAAAGCCUGAUCCAGCAAUGCCGCGUGAGUGAUGAAGGCCUUAGGGUUGUAAAGCUCUUUUACCCGGGAUGAUAAUGACAGUACCGGGAGAAUAAGCUCCGGCUAACUCCGUG